rnacentral:tRNA from 1 species
GGGCCCGUGGUGUAGGUGGCAGCACAUCACCCCGCGAAAGUGAAGGUGCGAGUUCGAGUCUCGUCGGGUCCA